UUGACAUUUUUAAUUGUGAUGUGUCUUGGUGUGGGUCUCUUUGGGUGCCUCUUAUAGAAUUGUCUAGGAUUUUUGGAACUUUUUGUUUGUUUGUCUUUUUAGGGCCACAACCACAGCAUAUGGACGUUCCCAGACUAGGGGUCCAAUCAGAGCUAUAGCUGCUGGCCUACACCACAGCCACAGCAACACAGGAUAUGAGCUGCAUCUGUGACCUGCUCCACAGGUCACGGCAAUGCCAGAUCUUUAACCCACUGAGCGAGGCCAAGGAUCAAAUCUGUAUCCUCAUGAAUACUAGUUGGGCUCAUUACCACUGAGCCACCACAGAAACUCUGUCUUUCUGGAUUUUAAUGUAUGUUUUCUUCCCUUUUCAGCCAUUAUUUCUUCAAACAAGAUUUCUGCCCCUUUCUCUCUUUAUUCUCCUCUUGGGACUCCUCUGAUGGGAAUGUUAAGCCAUUUGAUACUGCUUCAUAUUCCUUCAAUCUGUUCUCACUUUUUUCCCAUUCUUUUUGCUGCUCUAAUUUGCAUGAGUUUCAUUGUCUUGUCUUCAAGUUGACGGAUCCUUUCUUCUGCUUCAUCCAACCCAUUGCUGAAUCCCUCUAGUGUAUUUUUGGUUUGUUUUUAGUCAUCACUCUGGUGUGGUGUGGAUUUGAACAUGUUGAGCAGAUGUGGGCAGGACAGGUAGUAGCCCAUCACAGCGGUCCAGGCAAGAGACAAGAGAAGUCUGGAUUGGUAGAGAAGUAACAGGAGUGGGGUCCAGAAGUGUAUAGAUUGGAGAGUUAGAUGGGAAUUAAAAACAAGAGGACCUUGUGAUUCCAUAGGGGCAAUGGGAGGAGAAGGCAGCAGUGAGUCCCGUGUUCCUGGCGUGUGUGACUGGUAGCAGCAGAGCACUCAUCAGAACAGGAAAUGGAGCAGGAAGGAAGGGUGACUUCAGUAUCGGCGUGUUAUCCCCAACACCUGUGGAAGCCAUAGAGGGAGGCAGAUGAAAUCGGUGGGGAUGUGGAUUGAGAGUAGUCUGCCUGUAACUGGUGCCGUGAGCCCUGGACCCUGGUGAUGACCGAGGACAAGAGCACAGAGGGAGAAGAGAGGACCAACAGCGAAGAGAAUGAGGUCUCCCUGGGGAGUAGGCAGAGGUGCCAGAGGCCAGUAGGAGAGUUGGCGGGAUGGGGGCACCAGAACCCAUUUCCUGACGUCAGCUGGAACUGCCCUCCUCACGACACCCACCAGGUGCCCUGCUCUCAUAUCAAAACCUGGUGUCCGUGCCUUCCUGCGUGCCAGGAUUUAAAGUGCAGACAGCAGUCCACUGUAGCCCCUGCAAGGUGACAGCUAGAUUGAGUUCUGUGGGAAUGCUGCCUGGCACAGUGCUUGGCACACACACACACACCAGAACCCCCGCUGACUCUGCAAGGGUGCAUCUCACCACCUGUGUGGACAGAUCGCAAUCACAGCAGCACCAGACCUUGCGGAGGAGCCCAAGGCACGUCCAUCCUCUGCGUGGAACAAGCCCGCAGCAGUGAAGGACCAGGAAGGGUCUCAGGAAAGGAGGAGUAAGCGUGUCUGCCCUUGGUGCCAAAGCUGUGCUCACUUAGGCAGUGUUCUUUGAAAACGCAUUUUUUUAGCCCAUGCCCCACAGCAGUUGGCGUUGAAGUGGCGGGCAUCACCAGGAAGAUCCUUAGAUCCCUUUGUGAAUGUUUGGGCCACAUCAGGCUGUGCAUGCAGUCUGCAGCUGGCAUCAGGUUCUAUAUAAGAGGAAGUAACCGUUUGAUAAUUAUAAUCAUUUUUAAAUUGAUAAAUUGAUUCUUUUAAAUACAAGAAACCAUUAAGACUGACUGUUCUGCAGAAGAAACACAUGGGGAAAUGAAAUUUUCCGUCUCACUGGGAAUUUCUUGGUAAAUAUGCCAGCAAAUGCAUACAUUAAAUUAAUAUCACGAAAGCAAAAUGAUCUCAUGUACUUUUUAAGCACAGAAAAUACAUUGUUUACAACAUAGAAGAGAGUAAACAUCAGAUAAGGGGCACCAAGAAUAUUUUUCUUUUGGAAGAAAACAUCGAAAACUGGUUCAGGGCCUUCAAGGUCUUUAUUUCGACGAGUCUCCCAGUGAUGGGGGCCGUUUCCCAGCAGGUGUGUGGGGAUAACAGUGCAGGUCCCGCUGUCCACUAGGUGGGUUGGUGAUCCGAGGCAGGUGUGUGGGGAUAACAUGCAGGUCCCGCUGUCCGCUAGGUGGGUUGGUGAUCCGAGGCAGGUGUGUGGGGAUAACAGUGCAGGUCCCGCUGUCCGCUAGGUGGGUUGGUGAUCCGAGGCAGGUGUGUGGGGAUAACAGUGCAGGUCCCGCUGUCCGCUAGGUGGGUUGGUGAUCCGAGGCAGGUGUGUGGGGAUAACAGUGCAGGUCCCGCUGUCCGCUAGGUGGGUUGGUGAUGCGAGGCGUGCUGAUUCUGCAGGCGCGGCCGUGAUCCGAGGCGGCCCUGCCGGUGCCGGGGAGCCGCAGACCCUUGUGCCCAAGCUCACCGAGAGCUGAGUCCCAUGAAUACAUGUGGGUUUCUUUGAUGUGCGUGUUUUCGUUUUUAGCUUUAUUUGCUCUACAGUUGCUCGGUCUCGUGAUUUAUAUUUAUUUUCUGCUCUUCAUAUUACUUGUAGCUAUUGUAUGUAGUCCCUUUUUCUCUCUGGGCUGACCCGAGGUGUCCUUUGCUGACCGUGGUGAGUUCUCCUGGUUUCCAAGGUUGCCCUGACUCAGCAGAUGCCUGAUGUUGCUGUAAAUGUCUACACUGUGGAGAAGAGCCAGCCUCGGGUUUCCAGACAGGCUUUCAACUCCUGUUAUCCACUAAGGGAAGCCGUGGUGAGCUCACGUGCGCUCUGAGCCAUGCCCAGAUCUGGUGGUGAGUGAGGAAAGGCAGUGUAGACUCAAGUCAAGGCCUUGUCCUUCCCCCUCAUCUGUUCGUGAGCUGUGUGUUCCUCCGGUGCCCCCACCGGAUGGGCAGUCUUCACAGAACGGCCCCUACCCUGGCGCCAUGAAGGGGCUUUUCCCUGCCCCCCGUGCACCUCUGGAUGUCACCCCUGCUGGGCUCGGUGGCCACGAGCGCUUGUCUGCCAGUGAGGCCACUACACAAGGACGUGGUCCAGCGAAGGGCGUGGCCCGGGCAGGGGAGAAGCAGGCCGAGUGGCUGUGGCUGGGCCCGUGGGCACCAGAGGGGGCCUGGGGCUCCAGGCUCCCGAGCAGCGUGACAGCCACCAGCAGCAGGAGCCUCCCUCGCGCAGAUGAGGGCGGUAGUGAAACAAGAGGGUGACCGUAGAUUACCGUGGUGUCUGCGGGUCGCUAGUGGAAGGGCACCGCUGGCUGUGAGGGCAUAAAGUGCCCUUGACAGGUCGUGACAUUCCGAGCCCGGUCCCUGCAGAGGCUGCACCCUCCUCCCUUCCCGUGGGCAUGUCCUCUCAGGGCGGCCUGUGUGACACAGAAAGGGGAGACGAGGGACGGGAGGCCUGUCGGUGGCCUCUGAGUAGGACUAACCCAGAAGCACCUCGGAGCGUGGGGCCAGGCCUCGCUGUUCCGCCGGCUCCUGCAGACCGUGAGCCUGGCAAGGCCGCUGGCAGCCCAUGCUUCUCGAAGGCCCUGUGGGCCUGGCCUGCCUGCCUUUUCUGAGAGGAGCCAGUGUGGGGGCGUCCACUGCGGUGACACGGAAGGGCUGCCCACGCCAGGCAUCCUAAGCUCGAAUCCCUUUGCGGGGCCUGGAGAGCGGCCUGUGUCACCUCCAGUUACCUCAGGCCCAGGGAGAAACUCCUCGCCCACCAAACAAACAUCCCCCCUGGAAAAGCACGUCUUUCAGUGGAGGCCCUCGGAGACGAACGGGAAGGAGUGUCCCUUGAACCCUAAACUGCCAGAGGGUCGUCAAGCCCUCAGUCACGGUGACGUCCGCUCAGGAAUAUUUCAGCGACACCUGUGGGUAACAGCGGUGGAAUCAGCCGUGUGUGUGCAUGUCACGCAUGGACCCAGGUUAAGGCGCGGGAGUCUCAGCUGGAGCCGACUGCGUAAAGUCACCUGGAAGAGAAACCUAACGCUCUCAGUGUAAAGAAAAUGUGGCUCCUCAGACCCAAAGUUUUUAUUCUAAGCUGUUGCAAACGCACAGUUCAGAUCAGCAUGUUCGCAGAAAACUGGCUUUGAUUCCAUUUCAUGCUAUGACGCAUCUGUUUCCAAACCUGAGGAAGUGCUUGGGGGUUCAGAAGGAUGUGGGCAGGUGGGCUUGGACCAAGUUGGAGGUGCUCCUGUGUUCUCGGGCCUGCCUGUGCUGGCCCCGGGGGCGCAGCGUGUGGUAUUUGCUCAUGUGUUUCGCCAGUGAGUACUUUCUUUCUUCCCGAGCCCAGGUGAACGUCCCCUGUAACUCGGGGGACCUGCAGAACAGAGUUUGAGAAAUGCCGGUGUGUUUCAGUGGACACCCGUAGUUUAAAAAUGAAACAUUUAUAAAAUGCUUCUGUUGCAAGUGCCGCCCAGGAAAGGCUGGUGGUCCUGGCCCCGUGUGGCCUGCCCUUCCAGAUGCUUCACGUUGGGCCGGGCCAGGGAGCAGGUGCAACCUCGGCUUCCCUCCUGGAGGCGGGGGAGCCUUGCGGCCGGACAGCCGCCCUUCCUCAGCCCGAUGUCAGCACAGCGGCGGAAAGGGCGCCGAGCCGCCGCCUCGCCGGGCGGGUGCCACGCGGCAGACGGCCCGUCCCUCAUUCUCCGUCCCUGAGGGGCUCCUCCUCCUUCCUGGGAGCGCGCGCGUCCCGAGGUCGCGUCCCGAGGUCGGCAGCAGUGUUUCCGGAGUUCGUGUGAGGGAGCAGAUCCUUCACCUCCACGUGCCUUUUGGUCGCGUCGCUGCCACGUACAGGCCAGGGAGCGUCACUUCAGCGUCAAUUUUCUCGGCUUAUUUUUAAUUGUUUCAAAUGCUUCCGGGAAAUUGCCAAUUCCUGGGCACGGUUAAGGACUCUUGGCCGCAGGUGCCAGCCGUCAGGGGCAGGCCCCAUCCUCAGGUCUGUCUCGGCACGGUCCGUAUCCAGACGGCACACGCCCUUCCCAGCAUCCAGGCGCACGUUCUUUCUUCCCCAAGAUCUCAUGCUCUGACUUCUCCUUCUCCCCGCCGAGCUCUGGAUCCCUCGAGGGCAUCCUGGCUCGUCCCCCUCGGGCGCCUUCCGUGACCCCAGCGACUCUGCUGCCCUGCGCACCCCGUGCCCUGCCGCACUGUGACCCUGUCAUUUCCCUGUUGUUGCCCAUCUCCCUGAGGGGCUGCCAAGGGCCCUGGAUCAUCACGUGAUCCUGGUGCUUAAGGGGACCCGGGAGCUUUAUCCUGCACGUCUGUUGAAAACCGUCCCCCUGCCAGUGCUCCAGGGUCGUUCCCGGGCAUGAGCUUCCCGUGUGUGUGUCUGUCUCCUGCACUAGACGGGGCGCGCCGUGAAGGCAGCAUCUUCUCCUGGCUGGUCUCCAGCUGUGUCCGCGCCACAUGCAUGUUAAUAUUCACUUCACACAUUUGCCCACAUGUGGCAUUUCAAAUACUUAGUAGUUGAGCUGGUAACGUGAAUUAUGUUUCAAAUACCAUGAUGAUACAGGGAGCAUUUCUUAAGUGGAGUUUCCCCGGAAAGCAGAGACGCCCUGGAGAUGGACCCUCCCUGGGGUGGGGCAGGCGAGCAGGGUUCUCCGACAGCAGGUGCCAACAGACCACUGCCCAGGGACUGUUCUAUGCCAAAAGAUGCUACCCACCUCAAAAAAUUGUCAGAGUAAGUAUUCCAGAAAAAUCAGAAAUCCAUAUUCCUUUUUCAAAUUCUAUUCCUGACCAUCUGCACCGCAAGAGACCCUAUGAGAAGAGGGUGAAGAGACUCACAGAUCCUGUUUCUGAUGAAAGUCUUGUAUUCAGAACACACAAAGAACUCUCUAAACGCAACAGAAAGAAAAUACACAUUCCAAUUAGAAAACGGGCAAGACAUUUCACCAAAGAGGAUGUGAGUUGGGCACUAAGCACAUGAAAGGAUGCUCCUUAGACAACAGGAAAUGCACAUCGAAGUCAGCGAGAGGCCACGCACGCCUGCAGCUCUGAGAACAGCGUGGCACGUUCUUACACAGUCACGCAGCGCUUCCACGUGGCCCCGCAGUCGCACUCCCGCUCGUAUGUCCUAGAGAAAUGAAAGCUCACAUCCUAGCAGAUCUGCACACGAAUCUCACAGUAGUUCCAUCCACAAUGGCCCCAAAUGCGGAGCAGCUCACAUGGCUUUUCAAAGGUGAACGAACCCACGGGGCCCCUCCGCACAGGGGCCGCUCCGCAACAGAAGCAGCAAGCGGGACCUGUGACGCAACGUGGGUGCCGCCGAUGGUCUUGCACUGAGUGAGGAAAGCCCACCUAAAAGGUGUAUUUUAUUUCUCUCACACCCUUAACAUGACAGACUUACACGAUUGAGAGCAGGCCUGUGGUUGCUGGGGACCAGAACUCAGGGAGAUGGGGCUGUAGAGGGGUUGGGAGGGGGUGACUGAGGUGCUGUCCCCCCCUAGGGGCUGCGGGCGUGGGAGUCCAAACACAUUAGCAACU
rnacentral:lncRNA from 1 species